rnacentral:rRNA from 1 species
UACGUAGGGUGCGAGCGUUGUCCGGAAUUAUUGGGCGUAAAGAGCUCGUAGGCGGCUUGUCGCGUCGGUUGUGAAAGCCCGGGGCUUAACCCCGGGUCUGCAGUCGAUACGGGCAGGCUAGAGUUCGGUAGGGGAGAUCGGAAUUCCCGGUGUAGCGGUGAAAUGCGCAGAUAUCGGGAGGAACACCAAUGGCGAAGGCAGCUCGCUGGGACGGUACUGACGCUGAGGUGCGAAAGCGUGGGGAGCAAACAGG